AGUGAACGCUGGCGGUAGGCCUAACACAUGCAAGUCGAACGGCAGCACAGUAAGAGCUUGCUCUUACGGGUGGCGAGUGGCGGACGGGUGAGGAAUACAUCGGAAUCUACUUUUUCGUGGGGGAUAACGUAGGGAAACUUACGCUAAUACCGCAUACGACCUACGGGUGAAAGCAGGGGAUCUUCGGACCUUGCGCGAUUGAAUGAGCCGAUGUCGGAUUAGCUAGUUGGCGGGGUAAAGGCCCACCAAGGCGACGAUCCGUAGCUGGUCUGAGAGGAUGAUCAGCCACACUAGAACUUGGGCACGGUCCAGACUCCUACGGGAGGGAGCAGUGGGGAAUAUUGGACAAUGGGGGGAAACCUGAUCCAGCCAUACCGCGUGGGUGAAGAAGGCCUUCGGGUUGUAAAGCCCUUUUGUUGGGAAAGAAAAGCAGCAGGUUAAUACCCCGCUGUUCUGACGGUACCCAAAGAAUAAGCACCGGCUAACUUCGUG
rnacentral:rRNA from 1 species